UACGUAGGGUGCGAGCGUUGUCCGGAAUUAUUGGGCGUAAAGGGCUCGUAGGCGGUCUGUUGCGUCGGGAGUGAAAACUCAGGGCUUAACCCUGAGCCUGCUUCCGAUACGGGCAGACUAGAGGUAUGCAGGGGAGAACGGAAUUCCUGGUGUAGCGGUGAAAUGCGUAGAGAUCAAGAGGAACACUCGUGGCGAAAGCGAGCUACUGGACAAUUCCUGACGCUGAGGCUCGAAGGCUAGGGUAGCGAAAGGG
rnacentral:rRNA from 1 species